rnacentral:rRNA from 1 species
AGCGAACGCUGGCGGCAGGCUUAACACAUGCAAGUCGAACGCACCGCAAGGUGAGUGGCAGACGGGUGAGUAACACGUGGGAACGUGCCCUUCGGUUCGGGAUAACUCAGGGAAACUUGAGCUAAUACCGGGAUACGCCCUUUUGGGGAAAGGUUUACUGCCGAAGGAUCGGCCCGCGUCUGAUUAGCUAGUUGGUGGGGAAUGGCCUACCAAGGCGACGAUCAGUAGCUGGUCUGAGAGGAUGAUCAGCCACACUGGGACUGAGACACGGCCCAGACUCCUACGGGAGGCAGCAGUGGGGAAUAUUGGACAAUGGGCGCAAGCCUGAUCCAGCCAUGCCGCGUGAGUGAUGAAGGCCUUAGGGUUGUAAAGCUCUUUCGUCCGGGACGAUAAUGACGGUACCGGAAGAAGAAGCCCCGGCUAACUUCGUGCCAG